rfam:Streptomyces sp. MBRL 10 scaffold00114, whole genome shotgun sequence.
CCCUCUCGCGACCGCUUGAGGGAACUGACACCGGUACCUGACACGGCCGGUGCAG